rnacentral:rRNA from 1 species
CCUACGGGAGGCAGCAGUGAGGAAUAUUGGUCAAUGGCCGGGAGGCUGAACCAGCCAAGUCGCGUGAGGGAAGACGGCCCUACGGGUUGUAAACCUCUUUUGUCAGGGAGCAAGGUGCAGGUCGGGACCUGCUGUGAGAGUACCUGAAGAAAAAGCAUCGGCUAACUCCGUGCCAGCAGCCGCGGUAAUACGGAGGAUGCGAGCGUUAUCCGGAUUUAUUGGGUUAAAAGGGUGCGCAGGCGGAGGCACAAGUCAGCGGUAAAAUCGCGGGGCUCAACCCCGCUCCGCCGUUGAAACUGUGGCCCUUGAGUGCGCGAAGGGUAGGCGGAAUGCGUGGUGUAGCGGUGAAAUGCAUAGAUAUCACGCAGAACUCCGAUCGCGAAGGCAGCCUACCGGCGCGCAACUGACGCUCAUGCACGAAAGCGUGGGUAUCGAACAGGAUUAGAUACCCCAGUAGUC